CUGUGUGACGUCACGUGAGGGGGGCGCUUCAAUUUUAAAACACCUUUCGUUCCGUACGAUUUGGAACAACAAAAUUAAACUUCGGUUUCAGCACUGAAUCCGGUGCUGUGUGACGUAAAGUCCUGGGUCAGGCGGUGCCCAGUUGUUGACUGAGUGGGCAGCGCGGUUUUGUCUCGACUGGAGGCUCCAGGCUCUCCUCAGCCCCGGUUUUCACUUUGCGACCGAGCCCCGACUGUGGAAUCAAUUCCUUAUGGUUCUCCGAGGGAGCCCCAGAAUCUAGGACAGCCGCCAUGGGCUGCGAGUGCAGAUAGGGUAAGAUGUCACUGACCUGUGCAUCAGAGAAAGUCACGGGUUUGUCCAGUCUCCUGUGAUAUCUGCUGGCACAUCGGGAGUCUGAAAUGGAAAGGUGGUGACUGAGGAAGAAGCUUGUUGACGGAGGAUACCCAGAGGCGAGUAGGUCAGAUACAGAAUCAGGAAUUGAACUGAAUUGAAUUGACUUUAUUUCUUACAUCCAAGAAGAGUAAAAAUCUUUACGUUACGUUUCCAUCGAAAUGUGCAAUCUUAGUAAUUUAUAAUAGUUUAUAAUAAAUAAAACCGACAAUGUAAUAUAGAGUACACUCAAAUCAGUGUCAGUUCAUCAGUCUGAUGUCCUGGUGGAAGAAGCUGUCCCAGAGCCUGUUGGUCCUGCCUUUUAUGUUGCGGUUCCGCUUACUGGAUGGUGGUAGCUGGAUUAGUGACAGUGAUGUGAUUUCCUGUGUCAAGGGUAUUGACAAUCGACUGAAGUGAGGAAUUUGUGUGGAGAUGCUGCUUCCCUGGAGGUGGAGGAAAGAGGACACACCAACAGGAGGACCAGCGGCGGGAAGGCACGAUUUGUCAGGUCUGACGACGAGCUGAAUGUGCCAUAACCUUCAGACUGUAUCAGAGAACCAUUCUGUGGGUAUUUAAAAUGUCAGAAGCAGGGGCAGGCGUUGUGUGUCCAUCAGACACUCAGUGAAAUGGUUCAUCUUACAAUGUGCAGGGAUGAAAGCAGUGUUUAGGGGCAGAUUUAAUCACUGAUUCUGUCACAGUGAGAGGGUUAGUUUUGCUGUAAGGAAGCAAUAUUAAUGGAAGAAGACACAGGAACUUCAUCAAUUGCCAGUUGAUCAGCAGAAGUGACCAAUCUAUGUUAACUUGAGAGAAACAGAUACUUGCAGUGACGACAAAGGGGUGCAAUCUGGUUUAUUUCAGGUUGGACAGGGGUGUGGAGUUUUGAAACCAAUCCCUUCUGAUGCCACGAUUGUUAAUUUAGUGUAUCCAGAGUUGAGGGUCACACAGCACGGAAACAGACCUUUGGACGGCCAUACCUGUCCUGACCAUCCACUCACUGUCUACACUGGUACCAUUUAUCAGCACUUGGUUCAUAGCCAACUGUACCUCAGCAGUUUCAAUGCUCAUCAACUUUGUAAAUAUUGUGAAGGGACCUGCCUCCAUCACCACCUCGGACAGUGUGUUCCAGAUUUCAACUACCCUCUGAGUGAAAAAUCUCUUCCUCAGAUCCGUCGAAACCUCUUCAUCCUCUGCUUACAUCUAUGCUCUCUGAGCUGUGACACCUCUGUCCCAGGAUCGAGGCCAAUAUGGGCAUCAGUGAGGCCUUUGCUAAGGUUCAGCACGGUAAGUUGCUGUGGAAAGUCAGAUCACAUGGGAUCCAGGGAGAACUGGAUGCACAGUUGUCUUGAUGGUAGUAAGCAGAGAGUUUAUUGGACUCAGGGCCCAGACUAGUGAGGUUCCCCAGAGUUACAGCCAUUGCUUUCAUUAUUCAUUGAUAUUUAAUUAUAUUUGCAUUUUCACAGUUAGUUGAAUUCUAUGCUCUACUUGAUCUUUCAUUGUGCCAUCCAGUUACUAUUCUAUAGAUUUGCAAAGUGUUCCUUUAGGGAAGAAAAAAAUCUCAGGGUCAUAUGUGGUAACAAAUGUGUACUCUGAUAACAAGAUAUACUUUGAACUUUGAACAUUGCUACUUGUCAUCUGGAUCAAGAAUUAGGUUGAGGACGUACAGGGCAUGGAUAGUAGGUUUAUAGCCAGUAGAUACAAACAAUUAGUUUUUCUGAAAGAUAUUAAGUAUAAAUUCUCAGCUCUGUUUCCCUCUCCGCACUUGACCACCCCCUGCCCUUACUGUCUGCCCUGUCACCCUGACAUUGGACAUAAGUUCAGGGUGAAAGUGAAUUAUUUUUGGGGAACCUGACGGGGAAUUCUUCACUCACAGUUUGGUGAGAGCGGAAUGAGCUGCCAGUGGAAGUGUUGGAUGUGGGUUCGAUUUAGACACAAGAGAGAAAUCUGAGUGAGGACAUGGAUGGUAGGUGUAUGGAGGCUCUGGGGCAGGUAGUUGGAACCAGGCAGUAAAAAUAAAAGCAGGUCAGCAUUGAUGAGAAGGGUCAAAGGGCCUGUUUUGGUACUGCUGGGGUUUGUGACUCUUAUAAUAUUCUGAUCCGUAAUUUCCACUGUCAGUGUUUUGCUGCUAAUGACUGAACCCAGAAAUUUACACAAAAGAAUUGAAAGACAUUUAACUGGCUACAGUAAGCGCUUACAUGCUAUGACACUCGCUAAAGUGGGUGUUACUAAGUACUGACCAUGCAGGCUGCCCAAACAUUUGCUUCUGGCCCUUUUUCUUUUUUGAUAUUUUGAAAUUGUAAAAGAUGGAAAUUAAAAAAAAAACAUCCUUGCUUAAACCAUUAAAGAAAUGUCUCAUCUUUAACUUUAUGCCUUUUGGAAAUCAGGUCAUCUUUUACUCGUUUAGCUAUUCACAGUAAAAGAAAUUUUGACCAUGGGUGCUCAAACUUCUGCAUGCCAGUGUAUAUAUCCUGUUCCUUCCAAAUUACUUCCAGAAAUUCCAGCCAUUGCUGCUCUGUUUUCAUCCUUGCCUGUGUUCUUCUCAAAUCAAUUUUGACCAUAUAUUCUCUCAAGUCUCUCUAAUUCUCUUUAUUCCACAUCAGACUUUAACUUCUACUUCUCUGAUGUCAGGGUGAAUUUGAUCACAUUACGAUCACUUGCCCCUUAGUGUUCUUUGAACUUAAGAGACCUAAUAAUUUUUGGAUCAUGACAACACCCAAUCCAGAAUAACUGAUCCCCAAGUGGGCUCAACCACGAGCUGUUCUAAAAAAGCAUCCUAUAGGCAUUCUGGGAGUUCCUCCUCUUGAGACCAACACCAUCCUAAUUUUCCUUAUCACUUGCAUGACAGCCCCUGUUGUACCGUUGCCCUUUUGGCACACAUUUUCUAUCUCCCAUUGUAACUUGUGGACCACAUCCUUACUACUGUUUGGAGGUCUCUAUACAAUUCCCAUUAGGGAUCUUUUUUUUUAUGUUUCCAGUUCCUUUAUUCUACCCACAGAUUCUACACCUUCCAACCCUAUGCCAAUAUUAAAUUUUACCAACACAGCCACACAACCCCACUACCAGCUUGUUCUUUCAAGAUACAUAAUUAACUGUGAAACAAGACGACCUGCAGAUGCUAGAAAUCUAGAGAACUACACACAAAGUGUUGGAGGAACUCAGCAUGUCAGGCAACAUCUAUGGAUGGGAAUCAACAUUUUGGGCCAAGACAGUUUAUCGAGACUCUUGAUACCCACGUAUCUGGAAUAUCAACAAGCAAGUAGUGCGAAAUAGAGAAAGCCUUUGACAGAAUUUAGUUCAAGACUUAAAAAUCUUGGCAAACAGAGCUCAAUAGUUAACAAAUACAACAAAGGUAAUAAACACUUUCAUCAAUACCGACACUGACAUUUUUUAAUAAAAACAUCUUGGCCCAAUUUCAAUCAGUAGAGUUUACAAAGAUAAAUAAGAACUUUAGAAAAGUCUAUUCACACUCAGACACCAGUGAAUCUGCAGAUGCUGGAAAUAAAUAAAAGCACAAAAUGCUGGCAGAACUCAGCAGGCCAGACAGCAUCUAUGGGAGGAGGUAGUGACAAUGAUUCGGGCUGAACCCCUUCACCAGGAGUGACACAUUCAGGUUAACACCACCUUGGAUACAAGGAGGAAGAAGAAAAACACACAUGAAAAAAAGUCAGACAACAGUCAGGUAAAACUUCUAAGUAUAUACUUUCAUCAAAAAUGAACAGGAUUUAGCACUCCAUGUGUGUAUAUGCAAUCAUGAUAAGAAAUACAGACCAGAAAACUUCAAUGAGAGGCCAAAUCAGAAAAAUAAAUCAUCACUCUGGAAGAAAACAUUAAACAGUGGAAUGAGUAUGACCCUCCAUGGGAGACAUCUCAACGAUCUGAGCAGAUGAGAUGGUGACAAGGAAGCACCAUGCACCUGACUGAGAGUUGGAGACCUCUUCACAGAAACCCAAGGGUUUCUUGCAGAAAUACAGGGCAAGGUGGUUAACAAAAGGAAAAAAAAACAAAAAUACAUGACAUAAAAACAAACAAGGCAGUAAGUGCAGAAAAUGACAAGAGAAACCAGACACAAUCCAACACAUUCCAGGAUCCCGCAGCAGUUUAACUCAAUCUGAUUACCUACAAAGGUACAAUCAAGUGGCAAAUAUCAUUCAUCAAAAUCUUGCUUUAAAAUACAAACUCAUCAAUGCCCACCAUAACUUAAUAAAGGCACCAUGAAUUCAAGCCUGACCCAGUUUUAGAGUCAAGAUCUUACAAACGUUUGUACAAAUUAUUUGAUAAUCAAUACAUUAUUUCAGAGAGGAUAAUCCAUGAUAACCAUCUGGAUAUAAUAUUACUGGAUAAACAAGCAGGAACAAAUCCCUCAAUGGAUAAAACCAUUCCCAACACACAUGUACCUCAACCAGUGGAGAACCUCACCACAGGCAUUGUUUGUGUCAUCAGUCAAUCGAAUGAUUGUCUCUGUCAAUCAGCUUCCAAAUGUUGCUACUCUGACAUUUGUUGCCACACCCCACUGCUGAUUCCCUUCUCCUCAUCAUAAGUUCUUAACCCGACCAUCGUCCAGAGCCCCAAAUUCUGCCCUGUGCAGACCCACCUCUGGUAUCUGACCCUGCUAAGUUAAACAUCCAACUGAUGGUUUCCCAUUGUGUUUUCGGCCUUUAGGGGACAGUGAUGUUCUCUAAAAACCCUUUAGCAGCAGGGAAAAUGAUCCAUUAUGUGGAAAUUAGUCGUGAUUAUGGAGAUUAACAACCAAUGUCAUUCUUCCUCAGCCCAGAGAUUUGAGGGGUGAAGAACAUCUCAGACAGAACUGCAAUCAGCUCGACUUCUUCAGUCUGCAGAAAAUUCAAGCAAAACGUUUUCACCCACAGAUGAUGACUGUUUGGAACCCAUCACCAGAGGGAGAGUGAGAGAUGAGCAAUGGGGGGGGGGGGGGUGGGAUUUAAAUAGACUGUCAUGGAAAUGAAUAACUGGCAGGGUCCAGCUGGCCUGAGUUGACUCUCUACUGUACACUAGGCGUGUUAUAAAUGCACUAAGUACCAGAGACAGAGUUUAAAAUAGAACUGAUUUAUUUGUCUCAGAUCCAGUUUCAUUAAAGGUGACUAGGCAGCAGUAGAAACUCCUCCCAUGCCCAGUGACCAGGGUGCAGAACUGUGUGUGGUGAAUAGCAGCAAUAAUUGCAGAGUUCAGCACCGACAGUCACUCUCGAAAUUGCAUUCUGCAACAAUGAUGGACAAAUAUCCAGCAUGCAGCUUAUUGAAACUUUCUCCCCAGUGUGAACCCGGUACUGUGUCACAAGGUUAGAUUACUGAGUGAAUCCCUUCCCACAUUCACAGCAGGUGAACGGCCUCUCCACAGUGUGAACCCAAUGAUGCACAUUUGAUGGAGAUGGCUGAGAAAACACUUCCCAACGUCUCAGCAGGUGAUCGGCCUUUACCCGAAGUGAACUUGCUGGUGUCUUUGUAGAUUGGAUGACUGAGUGAAUCCCUUCCCACGUUCUGAGCAGGU